rnacentral:ncRNA from 2 species
GGACGCACCUCUGGAGAGCGCAUAUACAAUUAUGCCACCAAAGGGGAAGGUUCGAUUUAUAAAUCGGAACUAAACUCUCAGGUAAAAGGACAGAGAAGGGUAA